rnacentral:rRNA from 1 species
CGUUAAAGCUUUAUUAACUAAACAAUAAUAUCCCUAAAAUUUUAAAGAACCCUACACUAAUACUGAAAGAUCCUAUACCCCUAUAGAACUCUCUAUGUUAAAACUAGUAAUAAGAAAACAUUUCUCUUACCAACGCAAAUGUAAACCAAAAUGGAACAUCCACUGAUAAUUAACAGCCAUAAACCAAAGUAACACCAAACCGAGAAAACCCUACUUUAACAACUGUUAACCUUACACAAGAGCGUUUAAAGAAAGAUUAAAAGAAAAGGAAGGAACUCGGCAAACACUGAUUCCGCCUGUUUACCAAAAACAUCGCCUCUUGAUAAUAUAUAAGAGGUCCAGCCUGCCCAGUGACCUAGUUCAACGGCCGCGGUAUCCUAACCGUGCGAAGGUAGCAUAAUCACCUGUUUUUUAAUUGAAGACCAGUAUGAAAGGCACCACGAGAAUCUCACUGUCUCCCUUCUCUAAUCAAUGAAACUAAUCUCCCCGUGAAAAAGCAGGGAUAUUUCUACAAGACGAGAAGACCCUUUGGAGCUUAAGAUAAUAGUAUAAUUAUUGCUAUUAACCUUCACCCACCAACCUAAAAUAGCAUUUAUUUACAAGUCUUUGGUUGGGGCAACCGCGGAGUAAAAAAUAACCUCCAAGAUGAAAAGAACUUUUCUUAAACAAAAAGUUACAACUUUAUGUAUCAACAAAAUGACAUCAAUUGACCCAAUAUUUUGAUUAACGAACCAAGUUACCCUAGGGAUAACAGCGCAAUCCACUUCGAGAGUUCAUAUCGACAAGUGGGCUUACGACCUCG